UACGUAGGGUGCAAGCGUUAAUCGGAAUUACUGGGCGUAAAGCGUGCGCAGGCGGUUUUGUAAGUCUGUCGUGAAAUCCCCCGGGCUCAACCUCGAGACGCCGAUGGAAACCGUUUGGCUAGAGUCCGGAAGAGGAGAGUGGAAUUCCCGGUGUAGCGGUGAAAUGCGCAGAUAUCGGGAAGAACACCCGUGGCUAAGGCGGCUCUCUAGUACGGUACUGAUGCUGAGACGCGAAAGCGUGGGGAGCGAACAGG
rnacentral:rRNA from 1 species